ACCGUACUCCUACGGGAGGCAGCAGUGGGGAAUCUUAGACAAUGGGGGCAACCCUGAUCUAGCCAUGCCGCGUGAGUGAUGAAGGCCUUAGGGUUGUAAAGCUCUUUCAGCUGGGAAGAUAAUGACGGUACCAGCAGAAGAAGCCCCGGCUAACUCCGUGCCAGCAGCCGCGGUAAUACGGAGGGGGCUAGCGUUGUUCGGAAUUACUGGGCGUAAAGCGCACGUAGGCGGACCAGAAAGUUGGGGGUGAAAUCCCGGGGCUCAACCCCGGAACUGCCUUCAAAACUAUUGGUCUGGAGUUCGAGAGAGGUGAGUGGAAUACCGAGUGUAGAGGUGAAAUUCGUAGAUAUUCGGUGGAACACCAGUGGCGAAGGCGGCUCACUGGCUCGGUACUGACGCUGAGGUGCGAAAGCGUGGGGAGCAAACAGGAUUAGAUACCCCGGUAGUCCUUGAC
rnacentral:rRNA from 1 species